rnacentral:lncRNA from 1 species
GACUUGCUCUCGAUUGGGUGUUGACGGGGUAACGUUGUCUUGGAUCUCUCCCUCCUCCUCCCUUCUUUUGCAGACCGCGCUCGCGUGCGACGCCCCGCCCACCUCGCCCCACACUUCCCUGCUUUCGCUCGUCGCCUACCCUGGCUGAAGUGGAAGAGGGGGGCGGGCUUGAAGAAAAGAUGCAGCGCCGGCCGCGCGCGCGCACAGGACGAGUGAGACUACGGCGCGUGCGCGAGUUCCGGAGCGCCACGCGCUCUCCUUUCCUUUGCAACUCCUCCGGGAGGCAGGCUCCGCCCAAUCCCCUCGCAAUGCGCGUGCGCCCUGGAACCGCUUCCUUUCCCAGGUCUAAGUUCGUGUCCGCGAACUCCCGCCUCUUGGCUUCUGCUCCGCUAGGGAUUUUACGUGCGCCUAGGCGGCUGCGGAGGCGGGAGCCUGGCCGGGUCGCCUUUUCGAGGGCGCAGGGGGAAAUACUUCUUUCCUGCAUCAGAUGUUUCUUGAAGUAUGGAGUGGGUGCCAUGAUCUUAACUCUCAAUACUCUAUUCCAGUGCUACUAACAAGUUUCCUGAUGUGACAUUCAAGGGAACAAAAUCUAUACCAGUGACCCCAGGAGAUUCCACAAAAGGGAGAAGAGACCUUAUGAAGACGCGAGCACAAUUGCCCUAACUGACCUCUGACUUCUUGUCCGAGGAGGAUAACCAUAUCCGAAGUUGAUCUCAGUGGUAAGCUGAAGGCAUAAGCAAUGGUCUUUAUACAUUUUGCUGACAUACCCCCCAAAUAAUUUUUAAGUUGAUGUGUAAAAUUUUUUGUCCUAAAAUUAGUUGCAAAAGAUGUAAUUUCUGGUUAAAGUAAAUAUGAAUGUUUUAAAAUAAAAAGGGUUAAGAUGCAUAUAAUCA